rnacentral:snRNA from 1 species
GUCCCUCUGGUCUUCGGAGACAUUCGAUAAAAUUGGAAAAUACAUAGACGAUUAGCAUGACCUCUAACCAAGGAUGACAGUAGAAAAGAAAUAAUGGUUGGAAAGUCGG